rnacentral:rRNA from 1 species
UACGUAGGGGGCGAGCGUUGUCCGGAUUCAUUGGGCGUAAAGCGCUUUAAGGCGGUUCGGUAAGUCAGGUGUGAAAACUCUAGGCUCAACCUAGAGACGCCACCUGAUACUGCUGUGGCUAGAGUCCGGUAGGGGAGCAUGGAAUUCCUGGUGUAGCGGUGAAAUGCGCAGAUAUCAGGAGGAACACCGGUGGCGAAGGCGGGUCUCUGGGCAGUAACUGACGCUGAGGAGCGAAAGCGUGGGGAGCGAACAGG